rnacentral:rRNA from 1 species
UACGGAGGGUGCGAGCGUUGUCCGGAAUCAUUGGGCGUAAAGGGCGCGUAGGUGGCCCGCUCAGCGUGCGGUGAAAGCUCGGGGCUCAACCCCGAGUCGGCCGUGCGAACUGGUGGGCUGGAGCACUGUAGAGGCAGGCGGAAUUCCGGGUGUAGCGGUGGAAUGCGUAGAUAUCGUUUGGAACGCCAAUGGUGAAAACAGCUCGCUGGGGGUGCACUGACACUGAGACACGAAAGCCAGGGGAGCGAACGGG